rnacentral:rRNA from 1 species
AUGCUCCGGCUCCGGCGCAGCGUCCUCGCCAAGCUCCUCCCGUCUCCCUCCGUCUUCCCCGUCUCUCCUCUCCACCGCCUCAUCUCCGCCGCCGCGCCCGCCCCCGCCGUCGCCCCCAGCACCGGGUUCGCCGUCGAGGACUACCUCGUCUCCACCUGCGGCCUCACCCGACCCCAGGCCGUCAAGGCCUCCGCCAAGCUCUCCCACCUCAAGUUCCCCUCCAACCCCGACGCCGUCCUCGCCUUCCUCGCCGGCCUCGGCCUCUCCGGCGCCGACGCCGCCGCCCUCGUCGCCAAGGACCCCAAGUUCCUCUGCGCCGACGUGGGGAGAACCCUGUCCCCCGUCGCCGCGGGGCUCGCCGGCCUCGGCCUGUCGCCUUCCGAGAUCACCCGCCUCGUCUCGCUCGCCCCCGACAAAUUCCGCUGCAGAUCCAUCGUCGCCAAGCUGCAGUACUACCUGCCUCUCGCCGGUUCCUACGAGAACCUCCUCGGGGUGCUGAGGUAUGGCUCCUGCCUCGUCUCGUCCGACCUGGAGAGGGUGGUCAAGCCCAACGUCAUCUUCCUGCGGGCGUCCGGGCUAGCUGACUGCGACAUUGCCAAGCUGUGCAUCACUCUGCCAUGCCUGCUCACCUCCAGCUUCGAGAGCAUCCAGGCGAUGGUGCUGUGCGCCGAAGGCCUCGGUAUACGCCGUCAAUCCGGGAUGUUCAGGCACGCGCUGCAUGCCGUCGCAUUUGUCGGCCAACAGAAGGUCACCGCCAAAUUGGAUAACUUGAAGAAGACGUUUGGGUGGUCAGAUGCGGAGGUCGGCAUUGCUGUGUCCAAGUAUCCGAUGCUGCUGACGAGGUCUCACCACAUGCUGCAGAGCAGGUCAGAGUUCCUGAUCUCCGAGAUGGGGUUGGAACCGGCAUUCAUUGCUCAUCGGCCCGUAAUUGUCUGUCUUAGCCUGGAGCGCCGGCUCAGGCCCCGGUACUACGUUUUAAAGUUUCUCAAGGAAAAUGGAUUGCUCAAGGGUGAUCCGAGCUAUUAUACAGUUGUCAAGGUGAAUGAGAAUGUUUUCAUGCGGAGGUACAUGUGCCCUUACAAGGAAGCUGCGCCAUACCUCGCUGAAGACUAUGCAACCGCUUGCGGAGGGGAAGUGCCGGCUAGAUUCGUAUUUGCAUGA